GUAGGGUGCAAGCGUUAAUCGGAAUUACUGGGCGUAAAGCGUGCGCAGGCGGUUAUGCAAGACAGAUGUGAAAUCCCCGGGCUUAACCUGGGAACUGCAUUUGUGACUGCAUAGCUAGAGUACGGUAGAGGGGGAUGGAAUUCCGCGUGUAGCAGUGAAAUGCGUAGAUAUGCGGAGGAACACCGAUGGCGAAGGCAGUCCCCUGGACCUGUACUGACGCUCAUGCACGAAAGCGUGGGGAGCAAACAGGAUUAGAUACCCUGGUAGUCCACGCCCUAAACGAUGUCAACUGGUUGUUGGGAAGGUUUCUUCUCAGUAACGUAGCUAACGCGUGAAGUUGACCGCCUGGGGAGUACGGCCGCAAGGUUG
rnacentral:rRNA from 1 species